rnacentral:rRNA from 1 species
UACGUAGGGUGCGAGCGUUGUCCGGAAUUACUGGGCGUAAAGAGCUCGUAGGUGGUUUGUCGCGUUGUCCGUGAAAACUCACAACUCAAUUGUGGGCGUGCGGGCGAUACGGGCAGACUGGAGUACUGCAGGGGAGACUGGAAUUCCUGGUGUAGCGGUGGAAUGCGCAGAUAUCAGGAGGAACACCGGUGGCGAAGGCGGCUUUCUGGACAGACACCGACGCUGAGGCACGAAAGCUAGGGGAGCAAACAGG